rfam:Ictidomys tridecemlineatus contig037908, whole genome shotgun sequence.
AUAUUUGUAGCUCAGUGGUAGGGCAUGUGCUUAUCAUGUGCAGAACCCUGGGUUCAAUCCCCAGCAAAGUUC